UACGUAGGGUGCAAGCGUUAAUCGGAAUUACUGGGCGUAAAGCGUGCGCAGGCGGUUAUGCAAGACAGAGGUGAAAUCCCCGGGCUCAACCUGGGACCUGCCUUUGUGACUGCAUGACUAGAGUACGGUAGAGGGGGAUGGAAUUCCGCGUGUAGCAGUGAAAUGCGUAGAUAUGCGGAGGAACACCGAUGGCGAAGGCAAUCCCCUGGACCUGUACUGACGCUCAUGCACGAAAGCGUGGGGAGCAAACAGG
rnacentral:rRNA from 1 species